UCAAAUUAUGAAGCUGCAGGCCCAAUUAUUGGAACAACACAAAAUAUUAGGUAACAGCAAAGCUAAGGAUGCUCAAAUUUUGAGUCUACAAGCUCAGCUAGGGGAAAAGAACAAAUUGGAAUGGAACAGUUUCCAAAUAGUGAAGGAGGUUUUUCCAAACUCAUCCCUAACUGAACAUGAGGAUGAAUUGGCAUUAGGCGAACAGAGUCAGUUAUUCAGUCUACCACCUGACAGUGUGUGAAAGCUAAAUUCUGUUAGUGCUGCACUAAAAAAAUUGUUAGGAAUAAGUCCAUGCAGCGAAGGAAGUGAACAAUUGUGGGACCGUAUUUGGGCUGAAAAUGGGUGUUGUACGGAAACCCAGAAAUAGCACGAGUUCAACAUAAAACAUGAAUUAGAAUUUUAGUGGGGGAUCAAGUCAAGUCUGGAAGUGUUACAGGAUGGAAGAGUGAGCCUACAGUUGAAAAACACUGAAAGUGUAUUACCAUUAAGGUAUGAGGUAAGGUAAUAGAGUAUGCAAAUUGUCUAAUUAGAAGUACCAUCUUGUGUGAAUGAAUGCUGUGUAACAGCAAUCCGUUAUAGUUCUGUCACAGCUAGAAGCCUCAAAUAAUUCUGCUUCUCUUGCUAAAGAACAACUUGUCCUUUACGUUCAGAGUGUCGGUGAAGCUGGGUACUUAAAUGGCCCUAAAGAUGUUUUAAUUUUGCUGCCGUUGCAGAGAUGAACAUCAUACAUGGACUUUUUAGGAAAGGAUUUUCAGCAUACUGGGAACACAACUAUCAACAAUGCAACAUUCUAGGGGUGCUAUUUUAUCAUUCAAGAGCCUUAUACAAUGAUUUUCAUCUGCAAUUUGUAUGGCCUUUCCCAAGUUUCUGCCAGAAGUUG